CGUAAACAAAGGGAAGCGAAGCGGUGACGCCUGGCAAAUCCCAGAAAUAACGUCCCAGUUCGGAUUGUAGUCUGCAACCCGACUACAUGAAGCUGGAAUCGCUAGUAAUCGCGAAUCAGAAUGUCGCGGUGAAUACGUUCCCGGGUCUUGUACACACCGCCCGUCACACCAUGGGAGUCGGAAAUGCCCGAAGUCAGUGACCCAACCGCAAGGGAGGGAGCUGCCGAAGGUGGAGCCGGUAACUGGGGUGAAGUCGUAACAAGGUAGC
rnacentral:rRNA from 1 species